UUUCCAAACGCAGCCAACAAUUAAACUAAAAGUCACUGCCCUAAAAUUAAUUCUCGAGGGUUCAUUCCAGCAGCCUCCAUUUGCUAAGGCCCGUUCAUCACCAGUUCACCAUUAAAAUUGGUGAGUGAUGUACAAGCAGCCUUUACUUCCUCCAAAAUCAACAUUCAAAGACCAUUCUCACUUGAUAAUCCGCAUUGCUAACCCCGAUUUCGACAGAGAAGCCAAGGGAUCUCAUCGAUGCAUUUAAUGAAGGAUCAUUCGUACGGAGGAGCGAGGAGAGGCACGUGUGAAAGAAGUCGUGCGAAGAAACCGCUUGUGAGACCCGACCCCUUGACACUGUUCUGGCAUGUUCCAGAAGCUUCUGGUGCUUGGCUGCUGGGAUUCCUUUUGAGUUUGGGCUGUUUGGGCUAGGGAUUUUAGUAUAGCCCUCUUGGACUAUGUGAUUGGGUUAGGUCUGUAUUAAGGGGUUAAGGUUUAAGUUAUUUUUGGCCCAAAUAUUUGUAACCGGACACUGGAAUUUGGAUUUUUUAUUUGUGUGUUUUUUA